CACAAGCUUCACCUAGCAAAAACACUAAACAUGAAAUAAAUAAAUUACACUACAAUUUUACUAACAACACCCGAUUUAAAAUAAUUAAAAUUCAAGUUUGAUAUACUGGUGCAUUUUGUGGUAGAUAUUGGUAACUUAUCAUUGAUUUAUUAUUAUUUAAAACAACAUAAAAAUCCAUACCUUACAUUUUAUUUUGCUGUGACGAUUUUGGCAGAACCAGGAGAGCUAAAUAAGAUUCCGUACCCACGCCCGUCACCAAGUGUGGAGCUGAGAGGCGGGCAGAUAUACAGCGGUUGUCAGUGUGUGAAACGGGACGGACUGCAACACGACUGCCCCAGGACUGGAUGUCAGGGUAGGGCUAUAUGUAUGGCUUACCCAGCUCCUCUAUGUGUACCUAGUGGCAAUUCCCCUACACCACCAUCUAAAACAGGGCAGAAAGAGGUGUGGGCAAACGGGGGGCAACAUCAAGCAGGAGCCGUAAGUAACGCACAAGAGAACUAUGUCCGCAUGGGAAGGCGGGGCUACCGGGAGAACCCCCCCGUGAAGCGACACCCCCGCCUGCCCUGCGACGAGCACAGGAAUCCCCGACGAUAAAGUGGCACACUCCCUACACAAUUACUACUCCAGCGCAUCUUUUAACAGAAAAAUUGUUCUACCCUUAGGUGAAACCAAUGUUCCUCAAGAACAAUAAAAGUUAGAAUGUAUAUUUUGACUAUGUUUCAUUUAAUGUAAAAAUGUAUACUGGGAUUUAAAAAAGGCCUUCUAGUCGACUACAAGAACAAGAUACCUAUACAGUACGAAUUUGCUCCCCCUGAGUUUGGUGUUUGAAGCCUUUAAAAUAAAUGUUAUUUGCAUAUA